AUUGAACGCUGGCGGCAUGCCUUACACAUGCAAGUCGAACGGCAGCACGGGGCAACCUGGUGGCGAGUGGCGAACGGGUGAGUAAUGCAUCGGAACGUACCUUUCAGUGGGGGAUAACGUAGCGAAAGUUACGCUAAUACCGCAUAUUCUGUGAGCAGGAAAGCAGGGGAUCGCAAGACCUUGCGCUGAUUGAGCGGCCGAUGUCAGAUUAGCUAGUUGGUGAGGUAAAGGCUCACCAAGGCGACGAUCUGUAGCGGGUCUGAGAGGAUGAUCAGCCACACUGGAACUGAGACACGGUCCAGACUCCUACGGGAGGCAGCAGUGGGGAAUUUUGGACAAUGGGGGCAAUCCUGAUCCAGCCAUGCCGCGUGAGUGAAGAAGGCCUUCGGGUUGUAAAGCUCUUUCGGCCGGGAAGAAAUCGCACGGGCUAAUACCCUGUGUGGAUGACGGUACCGGAAUAAGAAGCACCGGCUAACUACGUGCCAGCCGCCGCAGUAAGAC
rnacentral:rRNA from 1 species